UACGAAGGGGGCUAGCGUUGUUCGGAAUUACUGGGCGUAAAGCGCGCGCAGGCGGCUAUCCAAGUCAGUGGUGAAAGCCCGGAGCUCAACUCCGGAACUGCCAUUGAAACUGUUUAGCUUGAGUAUGAGAGAGGUGAGUGGAAUUCCAGUGUAGAGGUGAAAUUCGUAGAUAUUGGGAAGAACACCGGUGGCGAAGGCGGCUCACUGGCUCAUUACUGACGCUCAGGCGCGACAGCGUGGGGAUCAAACAGG
rnacentral:rRNA from 1 species